UUUAAAGAGAGUUUGAUCCUGGCUCAGGACGAACGCUGGCGGCGUGCCUAAUACAUGCAAGUCGAACGAACGGAGGAAGAGCUUGCUCUUCCAAUGUUAGUGGCGGACGGGUGAGUAACACGUGGGCAACCUGCCUGUAAGUUGGGGAUAACUCCGGGAAACCGGGGCUAAUACCGAAUGAUAAAGUGUGGCGCAUGCCACGCUUUUGAAAGAUGGUUUCGGCUAUCGCUUACAGAUGGGCCCGCGGUGCAUUAGCUAGUUGGUAGGGUAAUGGC
rnacentral:rRNA from 1 species